CCUCACUGCCCUGUGAGGAAGGUGCUACAGUUACUUGCAUUUAAGAAAUGAGAAAACUUGGUGGUGCCCAUGCCAUAUCAGCUGGAGACAAAGCAACCCUUCGCUUAACCCAGCUUGGCUUUUGGUCUGUGCCCAUGCCUGGUUCAUGCCUUGGACGUGUGG
ensembl:snoRNA